UACGUAGGGUGCAAGCGUUAAUCGGAAUUACUGGGCGUAAAGGGCGCGUAGGCGGCGCAACAAGUCACUUGUGAAAUCUUCAGGCUUAACCUGAAGCGGCCAAGUGAUACUGUCGUGCUAGAGUGCGGAAGGGGCAACUGGAAUUCUUGGUGUAGCGGUGAAAUGCGUAGAUAUCAAGAGGAACACCUGCGGCGAAGGCGGGUUGCUGGGCCGACACUGACGCUGAGGCGCGAAAGCUAGGGGAGCGAACGGG
rnacentral:rRNA from 1 species